rnacentral:rRNA from 1 species
CCUACGGGAGGCAGCAGUGGGGAAUAUUGGGCAAUGGGCGAAAGCCUGACCCAGCGACGCCGCGUGAGGGACGAAGGCCUUCGGGUUGUAAACCUCUUUCAGCAGGGAAGAAGCGAAAGUGACGGUACCUGCAGAAGAAGCACCGGCUAACUACGUGCCAGCAGCCGCGGUAAUACGUAGGGUGCAAGCGUUGUCCGGAAUUAUUGGGCGUAAAGAGCUCGUAGGUGGUUUGCCACGUCGGAUGUGAAAACCUGAGGCUUAACCUCAGGCCUGCAUUCGAUACGGGCAGACUAGAGUGUGGUAGGGGAGACUGGAAUUCCUGGUGUAGCGGUGAAAUGCGCAGAUAUCAGGAGGAACACCGGUGGCGAAGGCGGGUCUCUGGGCCAUAACUGACACUGAGGAGCGAACGCGUGGGGAGCAAACAGGAUUAGAUACCCUGGUAGUCCACGCCGUAAACGGUGGGCACUAGAUGUGGGGACCUUCCACGGUCUCUGCGUCGCAGCUAACGCAUUAAGUGCCCGCCUGGGGAGUCGGCCGCAAGGCUAAACUCAAAUGAAUUGACGG